rnacentral:rRNA from 1 species
AAGGCGUGCUGCGUUCCUCAGUCCCAACCGAUGUAUGCGAAAGAGGGCUAUAACACAUCCGAGGAUGCCACAUUCCCUCCAACCUUUUCCACCGGUCAAAACUGAUGCUGGCCUGCAAGUAGGGAAAUAGGCCGGCAGAACCGGUUGAAUCCCUACGAGCAUGACUGACUUCAAUCGUUUCCCUUUCAACAAUUUCACGUACUGUUUAACUCUCUUUCCAAAGUGCUUUUCAUCUUUCCCUCACGGUACUUGUUCGCUAUCGGUCUCUCGCCAAUAUUUAGCUUUAGAUGGAAUUUACCACCCAUUUUGAGCUGCAUUCCCAAACAACUCGACUCUUUGAGAGCGCAUCACAAAGCAUUGGGGAUCUGUGUCAAGGACGGGAUUCUCACCCUCUAUGACGCCUUAUUCCAAAGGACUUGUACACAGGCCAACGCGGAAAACACUUCUCGAGACUACAACUCGGACCACCUGAGGCAGCCAGAUUUUAAAUUUGAGCUCAUCCCGCUUCACUCGCCGUUACUAGGGGAAUCCUUGUUAGUUUCUUUUCCU